GACAUUCUCUUCGUUCCGUUGGUCCGCUUCUCUCCCUGCAAUCCCCGCUUCAUCGCGAGCUGCGCCCGCACCCUCGCUCCGCCCUCGCGACGCCUCUUCUCGUGCGACGCCCUUGCCAGAUCGGGACACCGCGGCCUCCUCGCGACGCUACCGCUGCAGCCUUGUGCGACACCCUCGCGACUCGUGAUACCUUGCGACACUCUAGGGUUUGGCCGCCGCCAUGGCAAGCUGACGCCCUACCCCCACACACCCCAUCCAUCUCCCUAGCUUCCUUCGCUGCUUUGCCCCAUCGCACUGCGGAUCCAUUCUCCUAAAGCCGUGCUCACGACUCCUUCCCAUGGCAGCGGCGCUCGGCCUUGCCGCGCCGACGAGUGCCUCCUCCGUCGCGAACACCGGCAACAGAAGGCCCCCUGCCAUCGAUGAGUAGGUGACCAAAGGAUGGGUGCCGCCAUCACAUCCAUCAUCGGCGCCGCCAUCAUCGCUCGUCCCCCUCCCUUCCUACAUCGGCCAACAGUGGCACGCACAACAUCUAUGCCAAUCCCAUCUAUUCCCUGUGUGAAACCCUUUCGAUCUGAUCUAAUUACAUGUGUAUAUAUGAAUUAUGUCUGCUAACUUUCGAUCCCUUUCAAAGGUAUCAUGGAUACAUGCGCACAGCCAUGCCCUUUAUUGGAUCCGUGCCUGCAGAUCUAUGUUCUUUGCACUGAGGAUGCUCUUCAUCCUCCCUACCUUAUCUUUACCUUUAAUUUUUUUGUCAUGUGCCAUGUGUUGCAGGUUAAGCAAACAUCUACUGUUCGGGCUUCAGUGACUGUUAGCCAAGUUGGAAGCCAUCCAUGCUCCUGCUAUAGACAUUCUAGCAAUGAUGCAUCAUCUCAUUCAUUGCUGCAUUGCUUUGCAAUUGUCUGUUAUGCAGAGUGGUUCAUACCAACCCACAGAGGGUGCAAAUGGUAUCCCUCUAUACUGUUCUUGUUCUAUUGUUAACUAUGACAUGCCAUCUACAUGUUCAUAACACGACUCUGUAGAUGCUAUAAAUUCCUUCGAUGUAGACACUAAUGAGUGGUCAGGAGUACAGAGAUUGCAAACAAGGUAAAUUUUGCAUUAAGAAUAACUGACCAACCAUCUACAUGUUCAUAACCUUUUUCUUCUCUAGAUCCCUCUCAGGAAACAUAUAAUGGUAAAAUGAGGUGGUUUAUUAUCAGACAAUGCUUAUCGUGUUCCUUUUUUUUGGCAGAUAUAUUGAUAUAAUUUAAACCAUGAAUUCUGAGCUUUUGGAUGGAUAUCUUGAAUGCGCAGAUGCUUUAUCUAUAAUGUGCUUAUAAGAAUGAACAAGUUCAGGCAAAACUGAAUAAAUUAGACCAGAAAUCUAAGCAAAAACUGAAUGCUUUUGUUCUCUGGGCACUAAGGCCGAGAUUUGUAAGUAAUCUGAGAAACUAUAGAUGACAGGGACCAUAUAUGCCUGUGCCAUUUAUAUGUCUAAAAUAUGCUAGCAAAUAGCCUCUAUGGUUUGUAAGUUUUUGAUAGAGAAGCUUUUGCCCUAGGUAGAUCAGAGAAGCUUUGAUAGGAAUCAGAAAAUUUUUUCAUCUAAAAACAUUCAUUUUUCAAUUUUUAUUCCCUGAUUCAGGCUGCCCUGGGUGUGGUCUAUACUGUACCUAAUGAGGAAUACCUGCAGAACCAUUCAAGGUUGGAGGAGAAUGUGGAAGCUGCUUGAAGACAACUACCUUGAGUUCCUUGCCAAGAUGAUCCUUCAGCAAAGGUAUCCAAAGUAGAAGGCUUGUUAUUAUGCCUAAUUCGCUAGGCAUGGCAUUUCCUCGACAACCAGCUUAUGGUGUAGCACCUCCCAUGGAGUGCCCUCUUGAUCCUGGUGGCUACUUUAUUGUCAAAUGAACUGAGAAGGUAACUAAAACCAGUGAUGCAAAUUUCUCCAUCUUGUCAAUUGAGUGGUUGGUGUCCCACGGUUGCUAGCCAAUUGGAACCCACAAGUAUUAGUAACUGACAAGUGCUUAGAUUUGUCAUAGAAAUUUCUGCUUGUUUGGUGUAUAUGUAUAAAUAAUAAUCUUUUGAUCUGUGUUGAUUUUUUGGUGAUUCUAAUACAAGAAUAGCUAUCAGAGAAUCAUAUUAUUAUUGACACUGACAAUAAAAGAAGGUCCUGCAUUUGACCGAGUAACUUAUUUAGUUAAUGUAUCUACUAUUUCUCCUACAACUAAAAAGAACAAAAGUAAGACUAUUUCAUCGUGCGACAAUGCAUCGUUCCAUCCGUGGGGCAGUUUGAGGAUCUCCACUCGAGCAGGAGCACCAACUUGUGGAGGAGGAAGUGAGAGCAGGAAGAGGAGCACCAUCUCGCAAUUUUGUUUGUUUUAUUUACAAAUAUAUUGUCCCACUAAAAUGUUGUCACCACCUACAGUGAUUAGAUUAUGCACUAAUGACUGGUGGAGAUGUUGUAUCUUUGGACCACAAGCAGUCACCAGCGAAGAAAUCUGAUAGAGGUUUGCUCCUCUUCAUAAAUGAAACAGGUGCUUUCUUGUGCGAGUAAGUGAAAACAAAAUCUUCAGUACCCAUCUCUGAGUCAUAGUGUUCUUGGAUAUGCCAUAGUUCUGUUUACACGAGAAAAUAUCAGUUUAAAUUAUAUGUGCCUUUGUGAAUAAAGAUAGCUUGGUCACAUCGGUGGAACAUGUCCUUUUUUGUUUCAGUUUCAAAAUUGCUCUUCUUUUAGUUAAUCAAAUACAGGUUAAUCGUGGACUGUUGUAUACUUGGAUCAUUGGAUGGCAAUACCUCCACCAUCUCACCUCAAGCUAUUUGACAUUUCUGUUUCAUGGUUUCCCUGCUCCAGCUCUGAUCUCAUUUGUGUUAGCGAGCUGAUGUCGCUCAUGUUUUACUCAUAAAUUGGUAAUUAAAUCUAUAUAGUUUGCCACUGCGACGAGGUAAUCUACCAUCAUAAGAUAUCAGAUCAGAGUGAUGACCAUUAUGUGUGCCUUAUGAUUUAGGUGUGUGGAGCCGAGGAGCAACUGAGGAGUGAAACUUGGAGCUGGAGGUGCGAAGAUGGAUAGGGAAACUUAUUUUCUUUGAAUUAAUUUAUAAACUAAAAACUCUGCUAAACCAUCCUCUUGAUGAGAAUAUAAUGCAUGGAACAAGGCUGUAAUCUUUGUUCUGCAUACUUGAAUCAUGAUCCAAUUACUUUCUCAGACUAGGUGAGUUCCAGUGUGUAUGAGAGUAGUCAUGAAUGGUUAAUACGAUUUUUUAUCACAAA